UAUAACUUUUUUGGAAGCUACG
rnacentral:miRNA from 1 species